AGAUACCCGAGUAUCCUUAUUAUUCCAAGGUGGUUCAACGGGCUAGUAAACGAAUCAGGUACAUGAAAGUUCAGUUAAAAGCGUAAAUGGCAAGCUCAGGUAAGUUAUAAGAGUUAAGAACUUAUUAUAUUAUCAAAUGAUACUCAACGUUUCAGCAAUGGAAGAGUAAGAUAUGAUCACGAGUUAACUAAGUAAACAAGCAAGAGAAUGAGAAUGAGAUUAAUUAAAGAGUAAACUAGAGACCUUGACAUUUGAGUAUAAUCAUUUGUGUUAAAUGUUGUUAUUUAUUUGCUAGUAAACUUACUAAGCUUUAUGCUUACUUCUUUUAUUUCUCUUUCUCUUUUAGUAUUGCCAAGCUACUUCAAGGAUCCUAAAGAAGUCGGAGAUCGUCCACACUAUCAACCACAA
rnacentral:lncRNA from 1 species